UGGGGAAUUUUGGACAAUGGGGGAAACCCUGAUCCAGCCAUCCCGCGUGUGCGAUGAAGGCCUUCGGGUUGUAAAGCACUUUUGGCAGGAAAGAAACGUCAAGGGUUAAUACCCCGUGAAACUGACGGUACCUGCAGAAUAAGCACCGGCUAACUACGUGCCAGCAGCCGCGGUAAUACGUAGGGUGCAAGCGUUAAUCGGAAUUACUGGGCGUAAAGCGUGCGCAGGCGGUUCGGAAAGAAAGAUGUGAAAUCCCAGAGCUCAACUUUGGAACUGCAUUUUUAACUACCGGGCUAGAGUGUGUCAGAGGGAGGUGGAAUUCCGCGUGUAGCAGUGAAAUGCGUAGAUAUGCGGAGGAACACCGAUGGCGAAGGCAGCCUCCUGGGAUAACACUGACGCUCAUGCACGAAAGCGUGGGGAGCAAACAGG
rnacentral:rRNA from 1 species